rnacentral:lncRNA from 1 species
GGCGGACCGGCUGGGAAUUAAAUGUUAAAUACCCCCUACAGGCUGGCUCCAUUACACCGGGCAUCCAGCCGCAGCCCCCCACGCCUCUCUGCCAGCCUCAGAAGUUAACAUUUUCAAGUCCUGGCUACAGCAGCUUUUCGAGGAUGGCUCCCUUUUGUCCUUUCCGUGGCUUCCAGUCUUAAUCUCGGGACUUUAGCAAAGACGUGUGUGCGUUCGUUCGUCCUUGUUUAUGGAGCUGUUUCGGUGAAUGCUGGACAGAAACUAAAUAAUUAAAAGCAAACGUCAGGUUUAAGAAGACCGAGACUCAAGAGAAGCUCCAAAUCCAGGAUCGAGAGGACCCGCGUCUCCUCUACUUCUUCCAAAUAAAUUUUACUGAUCUUUCUACAAGGAUUGCGUAUUAAAACAACACAUCCCCUCCACGCCAAGUCAAGGCUGAAUCUUGAGGGUUUUGCUUCACCUCGUGAAAGGACUAGUCCAGAACGUACUUUUAGGGACAGUCUUUUCUAUCUCGAAUUUUUGUAUUUGUAGGGAAUUUUAUGGAGUAGAGAAGCGAAGAGGGAAUAAAGUCUUCAAAUAAAACCCCCUAUCAAGCUCUUUGUACCAUCGGUGGGAAAGCCUGCGAGAGAACCC